rnacentral:misc_RNA from 1 species
AACGCAUAUUGCGCCUGAGCCUCUCGGCUUGGGCAUGUCUGCCUCAGCGUCGGUUUAAACACUUGCUCCAUACCCCUAGCAGGGCAAUGGACGCAGAGCUGGCCCUUGGGACCCUUAACCUGCGGGUAAGGGCCCAUUGGUUUAUGAAUGAAAGGGCUUGCCCCAUCCCGCACUUGUGCUGGCCGGACCAGCAGCGGCGGUGCCUGGAUCAAUGGUCUGGUGGCCUAGUGCCUCUGCCUUGACCCGUGGUGCGUUGCUUGCUUGGGGCGCUGCAUAAUGGGUGACGGGAGCGGCUGGGUUCUAAAUCCAGCCGUUUGGACUUGCCUGCAUGAGCGGGGCAGGGGUACUGCGCCCCCGCCCCAGCUUAUGAGCCCCUUAACCUUCGACCUGAGUUCAGGCAGGGCCACCCGCUGAACUUAA